UACGUAGGGUGCAAGCGUUGUCCGGAAUUAUUGGGCGUAAAGGGCUCGUAGGCGGUCCAUCGCGUCGGGAGUGAAAAGCUGGGGCUCAACCCCAGUCCUGCUUUCGAUACGGGUGGACUAGAGGUAUGCAGGGGAGAACGGAAUUCCUGGUGUAGCGGUGAAAUGCGCAGAUAUCAGGAGGAACACCGGUGGCGAAGGCGGUUCUCUGGGCAUUACCUGACGCUGAGACGCGAAAGCGUGGGGAGCAAACAGG
rnacentral:rRNA from 1 species